rnacentral:lncRNA from 1 species
AGGCUUUCUUAAUAAUCAAAGCCAGGAAAAGCAUAAAAGAUAAAGCCAUUUCAUAAACUUACACUAGAUCAGCCAUAGAAACAAAACCUAAGGUUAAUUAUGAAGUUAAGUGAAACAACAUGGAAAAAGAGCCUGGAAAUUACACAAGGAAAAUAGAAAAGCCAUCAAGUGAAAUCACAUAACUACUAAGGUUUACCCAAAUUGGACCCAAUCUAGAACAGAACAGACUACAGACCAC